AUUGAACGCUGGCGGCAGGCCUAACACAUGCAAGUCGAGCGGAGCGGCGGACGGGUGAGUAAUGACUAGGAAUCUGCCUGGUAGUGGGGGAUAACGUCAGGAAACGGGCGCUAAUACCGCAUAAUAUCAGAUGAGCCUAGGUCGGAGUAGCUAGUUGGUGGGGUAAAGGCCUACCAAGGCGACGAUCCGUAACUGGUCGGAGAGGAUGAUCAUUCACUCUGGAAAUGAGACACUGUCCAGACUCCUACGGGAGGCCGCAGUGUCGAAUAUUGGCCAUUGGGCGAAAGCCUGAUCCAGCCAUGCCGCGGGUGUGAAGAAGGUCUUCGGAUUGUAAAGCACUUUAAGUUGGGAGGCGUUACCAACAGAAUAAGCACCGGCUAACUUCGUGCCAGCCGCCGCGGUAAUAC
rnacentral:rRNA from 1 species